rnacentral:rRNA from 1 species
GUUGAACGCUGGCGGCAUGCUUUACACAUGCAAGCCGAACGGUAACGCGGGGGGUAACCCUCGGCGACGAGUGGCGAACGGGUGAGUAAUACAUCGGAACAUGUCCUGGAGUGGGGGAUAGCUCGGCGAAGACCGGAUUAAUACCGCAUACGCUCUGAGGAGGAAAGCGGGGGACCGUAAGCCUCGCGCUGCGGGAGUGGCCGAUGUCGGAUUAGCUAGUUGGUGAGGUAAAGGCUCACCAAGGCGACGAUCCGUAGCUGGUCUGAGAGGAUGAUCAGCCACACUGGGACUG